GGGAAAGCCUGUGCUCGGAGGUUCUGCCCUUGACUGUGAGAGCGUCCCCAGCACGCUGACCAGCAUUCCCGGACUGGGGCUGCCUCAGAGGACACAUCAAUGACUCCAGCCAUUUUGCGGCCUCUCAUUUUUGGAAAGUGUUUCUUCAGUGUAAGCAGAGCCUGCUUUCUAGGCAUGUCUGAGCGCCCACCUCAUGGCCCUAUAAUCCUCACUAUCCUGGAACUUGCGGCGGGCCGGUGCACGAGGAGGAGCAGGGCAGAGAGACGCAACGGCUCCACCACCCACAACAUGUCCACGAGAAGACGCAUCUCGACACCCGUGAAUCUGGGCUCCGAGCCCCCUGGAUUGGGGAGACACAGUGUGGCUCCUGGUUAGUGGCAUUUGGCAAUGAUUACACAAAUAUUCAAAAGGCUUCCGAGGGUUCAUUCUCAACCUCCUUGCCCCAAUCCUAUUUUUCCUACAACGUCUUAAAUUUCUGAAACCCCAGCCCUCCUACACUGGAAGUUUUCCUCCUGCCUGAAGAGAGCCUACUAUGUACGUGAUGUGCUCCUGGUGGGCCGAAACUGUGCUUUUCCAUCUCUGGAAUCCCUAGCAGGCUAAGCCUGGAAUGGGCAAACAGUAAGUGCUCAAUAAAUACCUACCGUGUGAUGAACAUUUCAUAGUUUUGGCUCCCCCGGUUGUGUGACAAUUCUGAGACUCACACUGAAAAGUGGCAGGAGAAAGCAAUUGGGCCCCAGUUUCUGCCAAGACGAGGUUGUGCACGAGGCCUGUCCCAGCGUGGGGAGGUCUGUAGGCUGGAGAGGAGCCUGUCAGGAUGUGCCCAAAGUCGCUGCAUUUUUCCUGGGUGGCAGAGCUGGAGGAUGAUGGAGGUGGGGGUGGGGGAAGCCCAUCACGAGCAGGACUACGAAAAUAAAGAGCGACCUCGCCUGUCGUGGACCAAGCUGACCCCCUAUGAGAUACAAAGAUGGCUCAGGGCCUGCCUGGGAACAAUUCCCUUGGUGUGGACCGCAAACUUGGAGGAAAACGGAAGAGCAGAACAAUUUCCCAUUCACGAAGAGAAUGAGGAGCCAAGUAUCUUUUCAGUGAGUCAGCUGUAGGCAAAGGGAUUUAUUUAUAAUAUUAUUAUUUGGUAGAAAAGAACUUACUAUGGCUGAAUGUAAAAAGUAUUUUUUGAUAAGUUAAAGAGAUUAAGAAAAAUCGGGCCGAUUUUGACAGAGAAUGGUGUGUAAACGAGAAGUGUUAUCAGUGAGAAUCUGGCACCAGCUCCAUUUUGUGAUGGUGAAAAAUAUCAGUAUUAUUUACUAAGAAGAUUAGGGUUGAAUUGGAAGAGAGGCUGGUUGUUGUGUGCAGAUGGAGAUAAGAUAAGGAUUUUACCUUCUCUGCAGAGCCAAAUGCAGCGCACACAGCGCUGUUAUCUCGGGGCUGGCAAGCAGGGGGAUAUUAAGAUGUACGUUGUAAUUACCAGUGGCAGGAGCAAAUUUCAUAGCGACUAUUUUAAACCCUAAUAAAACGCCGGCCUUUAAUUAUACAGCUUUGAAAUAUUUUUCUCAGUUAAUUGCAACGGGGGAAAAUAAAAUCAACCUCAUAUUUGAAACUGACUCUCACAGGGAAAGCCCUCGGCCUGGCGCUCCGGCUGCCUCUGAGCACCAUGCCAUGGGUGGAGAGCUGCCUUGGUGCCGAGUUUCCAGGCUCCGCCGACGCCCUCCCUCACUACCCACACCCCAGCCUUGUAUGGGGGGGACACCAUAAGAAAGGGUGAAGUCUUUCCGUGUGGAAUUAGACACCCCCCAAAAGCCACAAGGUCAUUUCUUCUGGAAAUGAAAUCUGAUUUCUAGAAGCCGGAGGCAGGUGGGAUUCAGGAGAAAAGAAGGGAGGGCUCGAGCGGACAGGGUGGGGUCUCUACCCGCAGAGGCAGCAGCCUUGGACGGUUGGACCCUCCUCCACCUCCCCAGGGGGCAUACUGAGCCUGUCGCCCAUCUUGGUCCACACCUCUCCGACUUUCAGGUUCUUAGAUCAUAGUUUCAUGUCAUUAACGCCUCCCUCUCCUUUGCCCCACACUAAUAAAAAUAAUAAUAGCAGUUGUCCUCGUCCUUGGAAUACCUCCUGUACGCGCCAGGCACUGCCCUAAGCCUUUUGCAUCCACAUAAACUUCUGAGCAAGAGGCAGGUUCCUCUAGUAUUUACAUUUUUGCCUACAUUUUAGAGUACUGUUACCGAGGUCCAGAGAAGCAGUCAGUGUCCAGGAUCGCCCCCAGGGUUGCCAUCCAGGUCCACUUGACCGCAGAGCCCUGCUCACCGCCCUCAGGUAAACUCACCUCUCCUUCAGCCCUCUCCUUUUCUCGGCUCAUCAACCCCUUCCUCUGACUCCCCGCCCCCAUCCCCUUCCGGGCACUGCGCCAACUCCACGCCCCUGCUGGGAAAUUUCAGAGACCCCUCAAUGCCCGCAGGACGGCGGUCAAACAUCGCGCCUGCCCCUCAGGCCUUCCUCAGUGUGGUCCUGAUAACCUUUCUUCACGCAUCAUCCACUUCUUUCUCACAAGAACCUUCUAGUCCCAGAAGGUUGACCUACUGCUGGAAGCUUCUCACCACUCAGCUCUUCUUCAAAGCCCAGUUCAAACUGCUCUGCUUCCUCAAGCCUGCCCCGGCUCGGCCCCGUGCAAGCCCCCUCUGUGCGCCAGUCCGUGGUCUGACCCGCUUUCCCUACUUGCCUUCUCGCAUUACUGAGAACGUCAGCUCCCGAGCGCAGACGGUGGCUCUGCUUUGCUCCUACUGUAUGCCCACUUGCACACGCACCGUUCGUCUGAGGCCCUGCUAUCAUUUGCUCAGUAAUAAUCGUCAGUUAUCCUUCAGUAUAUUUUGUUCUGUUUCACCUGGUGGCUUAUAAAUGUCCUGCUGGCAGGAACUAUAAUGUGAAUUCCUUUCACAAUCCCAGCCUGGACUUGCCAGAGGUGCCCUUAAUAGGAAAGGUGCUUGUUUUGCAUCUGGGUCCCAUGAAGUGAAAAAACCUGUGGGCAGGAGGCCAAGAGAUGUCACAUCCUUAACUAGUUUGUAUCCCCUUUCAUCACAUAACCCUAAUCUCGUCACAUGUAAAAUGGGGCCAGUAACAGCUACCCUGUAGAGGCUGGGGUGCCCAGAUCCAAUGACUAUAUGGGCUGAGAAAGACUUGGCCAGGAAGCCCACAAGCAAGGCUACCUGUCCUGUUACUAAUGUAACUGUGUAACUUAUAUAACCAUGUAACAUGACUAUGACUACCUCUUUUCCCAGCGGCUGCCAGAUGCUUUAAAGUCCAUUUUGCUGGCUGGCACCAAAAAGAAAAUCUCUCCCCCUCCUCCACUGGCACCUGGGCCCUGGCUGCACAUAGUGCUGUGGGUAGAAAGAGGGUACAACACCAGGGAACCAUGGCCUGAGCUCUGGAGGAAGUGGGAGGGUCCUCCCAGAAUCCUCCCUGGGGCUGGGGUGAGGCAGGGAGAGUCGGGUACGGGGAAUCUCUCCUCAGAGGAAGGAGACGGUCCAAUCAGAUACUCAGCUGUUUGGACCAUUUCUCAUUCAGGGCAAGGGUUGGAGGCAGCCCGUCCUCACAACGAAGGGAGAAUUUAUCAAAGCCACCAAAGGGACCCAUUAGUUUGCCUUUUGGCUGCCAAACUGUUAUUUACAGGAGAAAAUUGCCUUCAGGUAGAGCACAGACGGUGGGAUGUCCUGGGUUCCUAUGGUCCUUCUCCCCAAACUCCUGGCCAUGCUCCUCGGGCAGGGUGUAAAAGGAAUGUUUACAAAGCAAAUCCUACUUCUCCAUUAAGUCACACCUUAUCGUCUCAGAGUUCUUCUAUUUAAUGUCUUAUGGAGCCUCUCUGACCUCACAGCUCCAACCUUUCUGUCAGAUACUUUGUGAUCCAAAAAUAGAUAACGGUCUUAAAAGUACCAGGAGCCUCCUCCCCUCAGAAGGUUUUGGAAAGACUCUUUCCUACAGAAGGGAAGAAUUCUUUGGUCCACAAAUGUUUGUCACCAUCAGUAUAUAUGUUUAUCAGCUACUGGCUAAAUGUACCCAUUUGUAAAUUUCAAUUUUUUAUUACUGAUAACAGUAGCCAAUGCCAAUGGAAUUUUUUUUAUGUGCAAGGUACUGGGCUCGAGCUUCAUUUAAUCCUUGUAAAAGCCUCUGAUGUGGAUACUAUGAUUAUCCCCAUUUUACUGAUGAGAAAACAGAGGUUUAGAAAAGUAGCUAAGAGCGGACUGCUGAAUCCAGUCUCAUUCUAAAGCUGUGCUCUUAGCCACUGUGCUGUGCAGCUUCACCUGGGGCCAGCCUGCAUUAUUUGAGUGUGUGUGCACAACCAGGAGUAUUUGAUUACACAUAUUUAGUGCACACUCUUACAUGUGUGUGUUCCCUGCAAUCUCGCACGUCCCACUCUUACCGAUCCCGGCCCUCUCAACUGUAAUGACCAGGGCUUUGUGACUCCCCGGUUUGGGGAGGUCAGGGCCCACUCAGCCACACUGCCUGGCAGCAGCCCUUUAGCCAAAUAGCAGGAGCCAGCUGGCACGUGCUCUCUGUCACAGAGGUCGGAGAUUGCAUCCCAAGCAGGCAUCUGUCGUGGGCAGCUGCAGCUGGCCCUGGGGUUGCAGCCUUUGUGGGUGCUGGCUGGUGUUGGGGCUCUCACUGUUCGAGAAAUGAUUAAUACUCAGACACUAUCUUGAUAGCUUUAGGAGACACCCCUCCGUGGACCAGGAUGCUACUGGUUGAUAUAAAAUGAUAUAUUCUUUUCAAUCUAUUUCAUGGUGGCAGUAAUUCAGACAAGGAAAUGUCUUUGCCUUCUACUGGAGCUUUAUGCUGCUUAGAAAGAAAAAAAAAAUCACCAAAAAUGAUGAAGAGAAUUUUUCAGAGAACUUAAUACAUUAGCAACUGGGAGCUUAGAAAAUGAAACACUUUCUAAAUUUCCCUCCCUCCAGAACGGUAAUGAUUAUCUCUCCCUCUUCCAAAAGCCACGCAGCCCAGGGGAAGGAUGCUGAGAUAGAACACAGCCGGGGGAAGGUCUGAAAAUACGACGGGGUUUUUCUGAUUUUUCAUCCAGAAGCAGCUCCAUUUAUUGGUUUCCUUGAGCAAUGACCCAUUAUUUUUGCAGCCUGCUCCGAAGGGGUAGAAUACAUAAUUUGAAGCCAUAAACAAAAACUAACUUUUAGAUUGUGUUACAGCUUUGUUCCUCCCAUAGUCACAGUGUUCUUCAGUUGCUUUGUCCCUGCUACAGGAUACCACAACCAAAGCAGCCCUUUCAAACACCUGUUACUGCUGUGGCCUCCCUGCGCGCCGUUUUUGCCUUCCCUUGGCUGCAAACGACAAGCUGAGGCCAUUGGUAAUGGUAAUAUUUUAAGAGAUUCCCAAAACUUCUGAUUUUGUAGUGAACAGAAUUCAACAAAAUCUGAGCCACCCAUUUGCCAGGGGGAGUCUGUGGUCAGAUAUAAAUGGCCAGCAAGUAGCUAGUAGCUAGAAGGGUCUGAGACUUUGAGGGGAUUUGGUGACAGAGAAACUGUGAUCAGAGAACUAAGUCUGCGCAUUUACUGUAAGCUCUUGUAAAACAUUAUUUUUUAUCAAAGUUAUACAGGCACAUAGUUUAAAAGUAAAAAAUGUAAUUCUAUGGGGCUGACUCCCAACUCCCUUUUCACAUUCCCCAGAGGACACAAUUUCAAAUCUUUUAGCAGCUUCUUCCAUGAUUUACUUCCAUUUAUCUAAAUAACAUGCUUAUGCUGUUAUGUCUACAUUUUAGAAAUUACUAUUCCAAUUUUAGAUCCUGCCCACUAACUUCUGAAACAGGAAGCUGAGGUUGGGGCUCUCUUACAUCUCUUUUCCUCACCCCAUUCACACUUGCUCACUUCCCACCAACACUUUCUCUGCCCCCUGUGCUUACAACCUAGUUAGAUCAUAAUUUUUGAUGGGGUCAAUGUUUAGUGUUUACUAUGAUUAUGAAAAGAAUUACUUUCUGUGGAUCUAUAUGUAUUCUAUGGUUACAUUUCCUUUGUUAUCUUUACUUUCCUUGUUUUCAGUGGAGUUAAUAAUUGCCUCUCUUUUCCUUACUUUACUAUAUACUUAUCACUAAUUCAUCCCUAAAUGUUGUAAAUCUUGUCUUGAUAUGUUUAAUACAUUAGGAGUUUUAUUAGUUUUAUUUUUUCCCUGGACACUUUCGUCUCACAGCUCUCUGUCCUUCUGCUUCCAUCUGGACUGGGUAUUCCCUGGGCUGUUGUGCAGUUAUGGUGUUGGGAUCUUUUUUAUGAUUAUCUCAGUGAUUCCCUCAGCUUUUCUCUUGUACUGGAUUCCUUGUUUUUGGCAUCCAAUAUCUUCCUCUUUCUUGGUUUACACCUUCAGAAACUUCAUGGUAAAAAGAUAUGUAAGAUAAGGAGGAGGUGACUUUUUUGAGCUCUUAUAUGAAUGAAAAUGUCAUUAUUCUGCACUUACGCUUGAUUGAUAGUUUGGCUAGGUAUAGAAUUCUAGGGUAGAAAUAAUUUCCCUCCAGCUUUUUAAAGCCUUUCUCUACAUCCUGGGAUUGCCUACUGAUUCUGAAAAUAUUAAACCAGCCAAAUAACGUCAGUGAUUAGCAUAGUGAUAACCUACUGCUAGAUUUUAAGAACAAGGAGAGAAAAAUCAAAGGGUAGGAGAUCACCCUUUGGCAGGUAUAUAUUGAUUAUGAAAAUAGGAAUGGUAGCAUGAAUUUACCUUGUUCAAACUCCCUUCCUUGCUUAAUGACCUUCAAUGUCUCUCCCACUCUGUCUACAGAGUCAAGUUUAGUCUUCUCUAAACAGCCUUCCUAGCAAGCCUACUCUGGUCCAGUCCAGAUAAGUUAUUCUUCUUAUUAUCCCCUGCUCCCUUUUCCUCUUCACCAGCCAGGAAUUCUCUUCUCUGAAGGUUUCCCUCUUAACAACAAAUCCUACACAUUUUUAAGGCCUAUUUCAAAGCCCAUCUUCUCUGUGAUAUCUGGUUACACUGAUGCGCCAUACACUCUGGAUUGGCUCACUCACAUUCCUUCCAUUCUCUUUGUUGAUAGAGAGAUUAGAAAGAUGCAAACUACAUUUCUGAAAUUUUCUUGAAGCUAGUGUUCUGGAUUUGAAUUGGAUUCUGCCUAACGACAUACACUCACACAAGAUUUGGAAUGGAAUUGAAUUGAUUUGGAAUUUGAAAUUGAACAUUCACCAUAGCAUGUGAAGAACAAGAAAUGAAUGAGGCCAAAAGUAGAAGAAAAGUUUUCCUCCAAGCUGAUCCUCAAGGGAUCACUUUGUCACCCUUGAGGUUGACUACUGGGGUGAACCAGGAUCUACUUACUUCAUUCAUUUAGUCACUCAGUCCUGUUUGCUGAAUGAAGAAAGAAUUAAUGAUCACUAGAAAGUCAGUAGAGAUUUCAAGGACUGAGGUACUCAUUAAUCCCCUCCCCCAAAUAAAAAGAAAAGAAUGUUUCAGUAAACAGAUCUGUCCUGGGGAGUUCAGAGUCAUCACCUACAGUGGUGGCCACCGGGUUGACGGCAGACAUAGGGGUGGAUGGUUAAUUCACCUAGCUUAUCCAUCUACAGAGUCCCUGUUCAGUUCUGCCUGGCUGGAGGCAUUUUGUUUUGUUCCUUUUGGAAGCAAGUUUCUCUCCCCUCAAGCCUUCCUCACUUCAUCUGGUGUCCAGUUCAUUUUCCACUCACAAGUGUCAUGGGAAUAUCACUCUAUAACAGCAACACUUGUGUAUUCUCCCAAAUUGAGCUCUGUGAAGUCCCUCAUUGUUCUUUAGGGAACUCAUGCAUAUCCGCCAUUAUGUGACUUCUGAUACAGAGAAGAAAAGGAGAACUCUGUUGAGAGCAUUUGACAAGGCAAAGACAACAUGUUCCCAAGUCAGAUAAGUCAAUCUUACAGCUAUUCACAAGGAGUUCCUUAGAAAAUGGCAUAAAUCUAAAUACCACCUCAAAUUUUAUCUGUAAGGAAGCAAUAAAUAUAUGAUCAAAUCUAUAAAUAAAUGUUUCAAAACUACAUGCAGCAGUUAAUGAAAUAACCGCUAACAGUGCUCAUCAGGCAUCAUGGGGAACCAGAAGGGAUGGAGGAAAGGAGGGGACCAGAAGCAGAAGCAAUAACUGAGUUACAUUAAAAUGUACACACAUGAUUGAGCAGCUACUGUGUGCUGUUUUCAAGUACAUUGCCUCAUUUAAUCCAUAUCUUGUGACUCAUAUAUUAUCAACCCCAUUUUUCAAAAGAGAAAACUUAAGAGUCAGAGGAGUUAAGUAAUUUGUCCAAGGCCACACAGCUGGUAUCUGAGCUAGGAUUUGGACCCAAGCCGCUUGAUUUCAAGUCCUAGGCUCAGUUUCAGUUUUUGUGUACUUAUGUGGGUCCCGGAAUACAAACAGAUGGUGAGAACCAGGGAAGGAGUUGGAAGAGGCACGUGUCCCUUAAUGGUUUUCAGAUGAGUGCUAAGGGAAAGCUAAAGGGAUAAGAAUUGUUUAGCCUGGGAAAGGGAGUAUCUUACCGCUUGUGGUCAACUCUGUACUACAGGAACAUGGAUGGGAGUUAGAUGAGCAGAAGUGUCCUUUAUCCAGGAAGAGUUAUACGUAUUUCUUAGGAGUCCUUUGACCCUGGAAGAGAUUCUUUUCAGUCUGGAGUGAGUUAGGGAGGCUUCCAGAAACUUGGAGGCAGAGGGGGGCAUCAGUUUCCUUACCUAAGCUCAUCCAGAGCACCUCCAUUGUAACUAAUUAGGUCCAUUGGUUUUCCCCAUACAAAAUAGUUUGAAAAACCAGGGUGGGACUGCACAGCUUUGAAUCAACUGUCUCAUCAAGGUUUCGGUCAUUUUCUCACAUGUUCUUUCACUCAGUGGUGAGUAUUUAUUGCGUUCCAGUUAAAUACUCAGCUCUGUUCUUACCCCUAUAACUCAGAAAAGAAAAGAAGCUACUUAGGCUCUACCUCAAGAAGUUUACCAUCUUAGAGAAAAGACUGGAAACACACAAGUCAGUUAAGGAACAAAGCAGAGUAGAAAUGAUCAAGUGCCCAAAAGAAUGAUAUUGGCUAUACAAAUACCAUAUUGUAUUUAUUUUUAAAGUAAAUGGGGGGCUGGCCCCGUGGCCGAGUGGUUAAGUUCAUGUGCUCCGCUGCAGGCAGCCCAGUGUUUCGACGGAUCGAAUCCUGGGUGUGGACAUGGCACCGCUCAUCAAACCACGCUGAGGCAGCGUCCCACAUGCCACAACUAGACGGACCCACAACGAAGAAUACGCAACUAUGUACCCGGGGGCUUUGGGGAGAAAAAGGAAAAAAUAAAAUCUUUCAGAAAAAAAUAAAAAUUAAUUAAUUAAUUAAAUGGAAUGGUUAAAAUGGCAAAUUAUAUUUUAAAUAUGUAUAUAUUUUUUUAACAUACACACACAGUAAAUGGAAACUUAUCUCUUUCAUGGGAAAUGAAAUAGACAUUUUUAGUAGAGACCAAACUAGAAUCAUUGGUCCUCCUAAAACCAUCAUGGACAGUGGCGAUCUUGAUUUGGAGCCCCACAUUAUAUCUAACAUGUGUGUGUGUGUGUUUUCCACAUGAAACAUUUUUCACAAAAUGCUUGUUACACUUUUAAAAUUUUGCUUUGAAAGUUAUUUGGCUCAGAGUAACUCAUUGAAGUUAUAAUUGACGAUUGUUUUCGGGCAAGAUGAUACCCACCCAGGAAUUUGGGGAAGGGGCAAAAUCUAGUUUACAAAUUAUUUUCAAAUAUGAUAUUUUUGUGAAUAGGAUAAAUGACAAAAACAUGACAUAUUGUAGAUAUUUAAUCUAGCAAAUAUUAAUUUUUAUUUUCAGGUUUUCUUUUAGAAUCAAGAGCCAAUAUAUAUGUUUUCCAUAUGAUUGUUGAAAAGAAAACAUGUAGACCCUAGGAUUGUAUCCACGUGCCCAUGGAUAAAAACGACCUGGGUUUGGUAUGGAGGACAAAAAUAAGAGGAAUGCUCUAAUAAAUGUAAAUAUAAUAUGACAUGGAAGCUUCCUCUACUCAUUUUUUCUCAUCCACUGAGAGUCACACACAGCAAAAAAAGCACAGAAAGUAUGAAGAGUACUGAUUUCCACAGAAUUGGUUCUUCACCUCACGUUCUUGGAAUUACUUCUGUGUGGUGAUACUCAGAGGCAGGGGGAUGCACUUGGCGGCCACAGUGGAGCCUAUAAAGGUCAAAUGCCCAUAAGAAGCAAGGAUACCAAUGAAGAAGGACACACACCUUACUUGGUCAUUACCAAACACCCUGUAGUUUCCAGCAAAGUGACUGGGGACCCCUCUCCCACCCUUGUCCUCAACUCCUCGUCAGUUUUGGGUCCCUGUAAAUCAAACUAGUAUCUUCUAAAACUAGGUUUUAGAUGUACCUCAAUAGCACUUGCCAGCUGAAGUAUAUUUAGAAUACCUCACCUUUCUGUCUUGGAAUUACGUCCAAAAUGAAUGCCUCUGCUAGUCUUCGCACACUUUCAGGAAGACAGUGUGGCUACUCUCCACCGGGGCUGUGAGGCAGGUUGCUUCACAGUCCUUUCCAUUUAUUACAGGCAGGGACACGGAGAGAGGGGAAAACUGGGCUAUGCCAUGAGGCUCAAGGCUGCUUACUGUGCGGGCCCGGCUGUGCUUGGUUUGCAGACUGGAAGUAGGAUGACGUGAGCUGGUGUAGGAGAGAAAUAAAGGGCACAGUUCUACCCCAAGGGGGCUGUAUUUAGUUGGGGAGACAGAUGCAAUGAUUGAGUACAACCACAAGAGGUAAUAAGGAAGUCCUGGAUUGCAUGAUCGCCACUGCAAUUUAGAGAGGAGAGGGAUGGAGCCUCCGUAGAAAUUAUGGUAAUGGAACCAGGCCUGGUUCGCCCCCCUCAGGCAUGCUUGAGGCUGUUUAUCUACCCUGUUGAAUCACUCAGCUUUUCCAAGUUUCUAUCUCUUUAUGGACUCUUUCCUCUCUUCCCUCUCCCAGAAAUAUUGGCAAGCUUCUUUAGUCAUUUGUGUUUCUUUAGAUUAUCAAGGCCAGAGGUAUAUCUUCUCUGAUAGAUAAUGGCCCUCAGUUAAAACUAGCAAAAGCUAUUUUGCUUGAUGUAUUAGCGCCCUAUUUUAAAAUAAUCCUAUUUCCUUGAUUCUUUAGUAUUUACAAUUUUUGUAAGUACCGAUUAUAUUUUCUAAGUCAAAGUGGGGUAAAAUUAGUGCAUUGUAUCCUGUUGUUGCCGCUUUCUGGAGUAGUCAGUCUUACAUAUUUGAACAAUACCACCCCGGUGUAAUUUUAAAAGGUAAGAGCUUGAUUCUUUAAAAAACACUUAGCCGGGCAGUGUGAGCUCUCUCUGCGGACCCUCACAUUAGGAGUGUUUUACAUAUAUCACACAAAAGGAAAAAGCGUUCGGAGGGAAUCGGGGCUCAUCUGAGCUGAGAGCUGGACCUGCUGAAUUGUGGCAAAUGGGCCUGUUUCUGCCAGCUGCACACUGUCAGCCAGGUGACAUUUGAGUCCAUCUUCCAUUAAUGGGCUUGUGGUUUGGGGAGCGACUGGCACAGGCAUGUAAAAGUCAGGCCCCAUCAGAAGCAAUGACCCUCCUGCGUAGUCCCCAGAUAAUCAAGACUAUGCAUUUACCAUGAAGUUCCUGUCAACUCUGCAGCAGCCCACGUGGGCUUUGCACCUCACUGCUUUAGGUUUUCUAAAAUUCCUGAAAUAAAGAAUUAGUGAUACACUAGAGGGCAGUGGCUUUGGGUAUUCUGAUACUUGAGUGGAGAAAGAGAUGAGUGUGAGGUGGAAUAGUCAGGGAAGGCUUCCUGGAGGGGGAGGACUUCAGCAGAGGCUGGAAAGAUGACCAUGAUUUAGAUGGGCAGAGCAGAGGACAGAGACAGAACUUGACCUUGCGCUGAUGUGCUCGGAUCCCAAGCAUGGCCUUCACUUAGCUGUGGGAGGUCAUCCCUUUGGGAACUUAUUAGAUGCCAGCUCCUUGUCUGUUGUGCCAGACUGAUCAUUUUGCUGAGUGUUCAUCCAGGGUCAUGGACUCUGCCCCACCUCCUUUUAAAAUCUUUAAUUUUAAAAAACUCAUAAGAGCAUAGAGGAUAAUAUAAUGAAUGCCCAUGUCAUCCCAAACAGGCAAACAUUCUAUCAUAUCUACUCAGAUCUUUCUCUAAUGAGAUGACUUUUACAGAUAACGUAUUUUUCUAUGUCUUCCCCAGUUCCAUCCUCCCCAUGAGCAAUCAUUAUAACGAAUUCUGUUUGUAUCCAGUUAAUGUUUUUAUACUUUUGAAGUGUGUGCAUUUUUGUUGGCCUAGUCAAAGAUUAUUUUCCUUUAUUUUUUCUCAAGAAGUAGGUGCUGUAAGCAUCAGACUCUAAAAUGGGGAAUGGGCUGAGUGGAGGUGGUAGGAUGGAGGAGGCUGGGAAGGUGGGGGCCCUUGAUUUAUAACGUGUCCUCCAUUGUUCCUUGGGACAUAGACCACAUGCCUACUGAGGCUGUAGUAGGAGGAAGAAAUUCAGAAUCUUGGUGUGCUAGCUGCUUUUUAUGCUUUUGGUAAAGUCCUGCAAGAAACAGACGGCUAAAGGCAGUUCUCAAGCGGAGCAAACGGGGAGACUGAGCAAGAGAAAUGUGAAAGUGUCUUGCAUGUCCCAAGUCCUCUCCUGACAAACUGGGCCUUGGCACUUAAGACUGAAACAAUUACUUCAGACAGAGGCCAGUAGACUGAAGGACGGGGACCGGACAUGGCUUGGAGGCAACGGUUCUCAGAAUCAAAGAGUGUGUCCAGACAAGAUUUUGGCUUAGGAUUGUUAGCCCAUGGAACUCACUGGAAGCAAAUAGACAGGAAUCUGCUAAGGGAACUGUAUUGCCAAAGAAAUGCCAUGAUUACUGACAACAACCUGUGACUGGAUGUUCUGCCUCUCAGGUAAUUCCUCGGCUUCCGAACUCCUGCACUAAGUGUAAUGUGUUCUUAAAGCUGUGUUAAAGUUAUUCUCCCUAAUGUCCACCUCAGGUGUGGCCCUAAGGAUGAAAAACAGGGAGAUUCUCCAAGAGAGCAGAUUUGCCAGGUGAGGUGACAGAGGCUCUCACAACAUGCUCAGCAUGUGGAGUCCGGAAGACUAUGAUCUGUGUUGUGUACCGUGGACCAGUGAUUACCGUGUGUGUAUGCAUGUAUGUUUACCUUCUUUUUUCCUUUCCUGAAUAGGAGUUUUUAUUGCAUUUUGGAUAUUUCGGAGAUGGAUAAUAUAUUUUAGCCCUUUGUCACUGUACCAUAGUUGCAACUACCUGGACAUUACACAGAGCUCAGAUGCCACCACCUCCCUCCCCCAGUGGAUACUGGGAUAUGGCGUCUGCUUCCACCAUACUGAGACUUGAUUGACAAGAUUUACAUCACCCAGAGAUCCUGGACCUGGAUCUGGAUGCUGUAACUGAGUGACAUUUUGAGUUGUCUCUUUCUUGUGAGGGGGAUGAAUGCAUUUCAUGGGGGUAUGAGCAUUUUGUACACUGAAUGUAUGGGUAGGCAAUGGGAUGGACUGUGGGAGAUAUUAUUUCUUGCUGUGAAGGACUAACCAAUUGAUAGACAGCAUUCAUUCUGAUCUCCUUCUAGAAUACCUUCCUGUACUGCAGAGGCUGGGAGGUUAAAAAUUAAAUUUCCAGGAAUCUCUUGCAGUUAGGAUUCUGGAUGAUAUUAGGUUCUACCAAUUAUUUGCACUUAAUGCAAAAUUUAGAAGAUAGUAGUGUGGCGCACCCCUCUGCUUUGUUUUGGGCUCUUUUUCUGCUGGCAUGCAAAGUUGUGGAGAUGCCAUGGUCCAGUAUCUCUUAUGUGUGUGGAGUGAGUCUUUCAAAUAUUGAAAGAUAUUUGCAAAGGUAGGGACAGCUGGACUAUGUCUAAUGUCUAGGCGGUCGUGACUAUGGCAGUGGUUUACAAUAGAAGCUUCCUGGUUCCUGAAUCACAGCCAUGGCUGUGUGUUCUUGAACUCAGUAUUUCCCUGGUGGCCUCCUGAUGCCCUGCCUUCCUUUUUGUGCUAGAAGCAGCAGCGGCUGGACCAUGGUAUUCUAGGACUCAUUCUUAGAGCCUCAUUCCUUGGCCUGCUGCUCCAACCCUCUACAGAUUUCAUAAACAUCUAAUUCUCUGUGUCAAAUAUCUAGAGUGGAUUUUGUUUCCUAAUUCCUGACUGAUAUAACUACCUACACAUUAAACUUUCCUGCUUCUUCUUCACAGAGCCCUAAUUUUGUUCUGAUGUUCACCUUUUCCCCCACAUUGCUUGGUGAUCUAAGCCAGUCUUGACAAUUCCAUUUCCCGUGUAAUUGGUUUGGAAAAGAACACUGAUGCAAUUCUGGACAAGGAGGAGGUCCAGAGGGGAGGUCUGCUGGGUGGUCUGGUUAAGGCAUCUCUGCUUUAUGACAGAGACGUAUAAGACAGAAGUGGUCCUUCUCUUUCAUCGGAUGUUGUGUCUACAUGUGUGCCUGGGAUUGUGGUAGUCAUAUAGUGCUCAAGAGAGGAAUUAGUCUGAGGAGAACACAUUUAAGACUACUGAAUUAAACGACAGACAAGCCCAAGCCCUUGAUGACAUAUUUAAACUGCUGAAUUAAAAAUCUUAGGAAAUUAAGGUAUUGUGAAGUAUGCCCCAAUUCUAGACUUCUUGUUAUGUUGAGAUAAUAAAUCUCUUCAUCCCUGAAGCUAUUUUGAACUAGAGUUUCUGUUACUUGUGUUCAAAAGAGCCUAACUAACAGGGUAUCUAUAAAUAACUGUAUAUUUUACUACACAUAUGUAGCCAUAAACAACAUAUUUUGCGUUUUUUGAAAUUCACUUAAAUGAAAUCAUAUGGUUUGUAAUGUUACACAAUUCUUUUUUCCUCUACCUGUUUUCCUGAUCUAUCUACGUUGAUACCUUUAAAUACAGUCCGUCCAUUUUAACCCGUUUAUGGUAGUUUGUUGAAUAAAUAUAGCACAAUUUGUUUAUUCCUUUUCCUAUUAAUGGACAUGUAGAUUGCUUCGAAUUUUUUGCUAUUAUAAUGCUGGAAUGAAGCUUCUUCUAACAUCUCCUUGAGCACAUGUGCAGGGGUUUUUCUAGGAUAUUUAACUAAAGAUGGAUCUACCAGGGCAUAGAAUAUGCACAUUUCACAUUUUGCUAGAUAUUGCCAAGCUGCUCUCCUCAGUAGUUUUGCCGAUUUGCAUUCCCGUCAGCACUGUGUGAGAGUUCCUAGUUUCCAUGUCCUUUACAACAUUCAGAAUUUAUUUUCUUGUGUGUGUAAAAUGAUCUCUUUUUGUGAUUUUGAUUAACGCUCCGUGAUUAUAUUGAGGCUGAACCUUUCAAAAUGUGUUUUUAAGCUAUUCAGGUUUCUUCUUACAGGAGUCACGCAUUUUUCUAUUUGGUUAUUUGUAGUUCCUUAUUCUGAAUGGUAACCUUUGGAUUGUGACACACAAUGUAAAUAUCUUCUCCCAAUCUACUGCUUGGCUAUUAAUUUUUUUAUGGUGUCCUUUGUUUCACAAAGUUUUCCAUUUUAACAUGAAGUUUUUUCAGCCUUUUCCUUUAUGCUUUCUCAGGGUGGGUGUGUUUGUGGGUGUGUCUUCUAAAAAAAUCAUUCCUUACUUUGUGGUCGUAAAUUUAUUUUCUUCAAAUAGCUUUAAAGUUUUAUUUUUUUAAUUAAUAAACUUUAUUUUUUUAGAACAGUUUGAGGUUCACAGAAAAAUUGAACAGAAACUAUGGAGAGUUUCCAUAUACCUCCUGUCCCCACACAUGUACAACCUCCCCCGUUAUCAACAUCCUGCACCAGAUAAUGCCAUCUGUCCUCCACUGUAGUAUCAUACAGGACAGUUUCACUGCCCUAGAAACCCUCUGUGCUCUGCCCAUUCACCCCUCUCUCCCCAGUAACUACUGACAGCCACUAAUCUGUUUACUGUCUCCGUAGUUUUGCCUUUUCCAGAAUGUCUCAUGGUUGGAAUCAUAUAGUACGUAGCCUCUUCAGAUUGGCUUCUUCCACUUAGUAACAUGCAUUUAAAUUUCCUCCAUGCAAAGUCAUGACUAGAUAGCUCAGUUCUUUUUAGGGCUGAAUAACAUCCCAUUGUCUGGAUGCACUGUAAUUUAUUUAUCCGUUCAUCAACUGAAGGACAUCUUGAUUGCUUCCAUGUUUCAGCAAUUAUAAAUGAAACUGCAGGUUUAUAAUUAUAAAUAAAUGUGCAGGUUUUUGUAUGGACCUAAGUUUUCAGUUCAUUUGGGUAAAUAUUAAGGAGCACAAUUGCUGGAUCACAUGGUAAGAGAAUGUUGGUUUUGUAAGAGAUCAUCAAACUGUCUUUCCAAGUGGCUGUACCAUUUUGCAUUCCCACCAGCAAUGAAUGAGAAUUGCAGAUAUUCCAUACCCUUGUCAGCAUUUUUUGUUAUCAUUGCGUUGGAUUUUGGCCAUUCUAAUAGGUAUGUAAUAGUAUUUCAUUGUUUUAAUUUGCAAUUCCCUAAUGACAGAUGACGUUGAACAUCUUUAUAUGCUUUCUUGCC
rnacentral:lncRNA from 1 species